rnacentral:rRNA from 1 species
AUGACCUUCCAAGAGGACAGGGUGGUGGAUUUCAGACAUCUGCAGUCUGCCAUUACAUAUCAGCAUGAAUGCAGAAGUGAACUGGUGGCUGAUAUGAAUGCACAGAUGGCAAAGAAAGAUGCAGAGUCUGAGAAGCUUAAGCAGAAUUAUGAAGUGCUACUGAACCUGACAAGAGCUCAAGCUACAGUCAUCCAAAACCUGAAGUUGAAGCAUAUUACAGACAAGCAAUUGCUUAUUGAAGCUAAGAUGAACUUGGAGUUGAAGAAUGCACAGCUCAGAAAGUCUGAGGAGAAGCUCACCCAAGAUAAGCUAGAGUUGAAGUUUCAGGUUGCUGAUUUGCUUAAGGGAAAGGAAAAAUCAUGGUGA